rnacentral:rRNA from 1 species
CUACGGGCGGCUCCAGUCGGGAAUAUUGCGCAAUGGAGGAAACUCUGACGCAGUGACGCCGCGUAUAGGAAGAAGGUUUUCGGAUUGUAAACUAUUGUCGUUAGGGAAGAUAAAAGACAGUACCUAAGGAGGAAGCUCCGGCUAACUACGUGCCAGCAGCCGCGGUAAUACGUAGGGAGCAAGCGUUAUCCGGAUUUAUUGGGUGUAAAGGGUGCGUAGACGGGACAGCAAGUUAGUUGUGAAAUCCCUCGGCCUAACUGAGGAGCUGCAACUAAAACUACUAUUCUUGAGUGCAGGAGAGGAAAGUGGAAUUCCUAGUGUAGCGGUGAAAUGCGUAGAUAUUAGGAGGAACACCAGUGGCGAAGGCGACUUUCUGGACUGUAACUGACGUUGAAGCACGAAAGUGUGGGGAGCAAACAGGAUUAGAUACCCCUGUAGUC